AGUCGUAACAAGGUUUCCGUAGGUGAACCUGCGGAAGGAUCAUUAACACUUUACUUUUUGGUUUUUCUUCUUUUCUAAGAAAAGAAACCAAAAAAUGUCCCUUUUUUUUCCACACCAAUUGUGAACUGUUUUAUUGUUACAUGGAAUCAGGCCCUUCCCGUCUUUUUUUCUGUUGUGUCCCUUUCCACAUUUGUGUGCACCAAAUGUGGAAGGGGAUACAAACAGAAAGAAAAACACAAAAGGAAGAGUCUGGUUUCAUUUAACAAUGUUUUUUUAAACCAUAUAAACCCCCCUAAGCUUUUUCAAAACUUAGACAAAAACAUCAAAACCAUACGAAAAACACUAAAUUAAAGAAAAAAAACAAAGAAAAACAACUCUUAACAAUGGAUAUCUUGGUUCUC
rnacentral:misc_RNA from 1 species